CAUCGACUUCUUCUACACCGCAGAUGGAUGACCUGGCUUGAGAGAUAGAGAGACUCCACAGCCAGCUUCGUUCUUCUCCUGAGCUGAUUCGGACAGACAUCAGAGACUCCAGAGACUUCGUAUCUGCUGAUCUAGAUGGGCUCCGAUUUACAGUGAGGGGGAUCUUAUCCCAACUUGAUGCCAUUAGGACUUAGCUUCAAUCUAGACCCUCUACAUCUAGUGAGCCAACCUUUGUU
rnacentral:lncRNA from 1 species